GUGAAUCAUCAAAUUUUUGAACGCAUAUUGCACUCUCUGGUAUUCCGGAGAGUAUGCCUGUUUGAGGGUCAGUUAAUUAAAAAUCGGGGUUGUUAUCACCUUUUUAGUGGUGAUGCUUCGGAAUUGAGUCGUCUUACUUUUUGUUAAGUGACUUAAAAUUUUUGUAUGAUAUCUAACGUAUUUAAAUUUAUUUGGUACGUCUUUGUAAUAUCAAAUGUUUAUUAGGUGUGGUCAUCCUCAUGUGACUCACGUCUAUAAUUUUUCAUCUAAUGACCUCAAAUCAGGUAAGAAUACCCGCUGA
rnacentral:misc_RNA from 1 species